rnacentral:rRNA from 1 species
GAGAAGAAGCUGGGGAAGGUGAUCGUCCCGGACAAGUGGAAGGAGGGCGCCAGCAACACCUUCGAGGGCGGCGGCCGGAAGAUCAACGAGAACAAGCUCCUCUCCAAGAAGAGCAGGUGGACUCCUUAUGGAAAUACCAAAUGCAUAAUCUGCAAGCAACAGGUGCACCAGGACGGUAAAUACUGCCACACCUGUGCCUAUUCAAAAGGGGUGUGUGCGAUGUGUGGUAAGCAAGUGCUGGACACGAAGCUGUACAAGCAAAGCAAUGUGUGA